rnacentral:rRNA from 1 species
GAUGAACGCUGGCGGCGUGCCUAAUACAUGCAAGUCGAGCGAACAGACGAGGAGCUUGCUCCUCUGACGUUAGCGGCGGACGGGUGAGUAACACGUGGAUAACCUACCUAUAAGACUGGGAUAACCUCGGGAAACCGGAGCUAAUACCGGAUAAUAUAUUGAACCGCAUGGUUCAAUAGUGAAAGACGGUUUUGCUGUCACUUAUAGAUGGAUCCGCGCCGCAUUAGCUAGUUGGUAAGGUAACGGCUUACCAAGGCAACGAUGCGUAGCCGACCUGAGAGGGUGAUCGCCCACACUGGAACUGAGACACGGUCCAGACUCCUACGGGAGGCAGCAGUAGGGAAUCUUCCGCAAUGGGCGAAAGCCUGACGGAGCAACGCCGCGUGAGUGGUGAAGGUCUUCGGAUCGUAAAACUCUGUUAUUAGGGAAGAACAAAUGUGUAAGUAACUAUGCACGUCUUGACGGUACCUAAUCAGAAAGCCACGGCUAACUACGUG